rnacentral:rRNA from 1 species
GCGUGCCUAACACAUGCAAGUCGAACGAGAAAGUGGAGCAAUCCAUGAGUAAAGUGGCGACCGGGUGAGUAACACGUGACUAACCUACCCUCGAGUGGGGAAUAACUCCGGGAAACCGGGGCUAAUACCGCAUAACAUCGCAAGAUCAAAGCAGCAAUGCGCUUGAGGAGGGGGUCGCGGCUGAUUAGCUAGUUGGCGGGGUAACGGCCCACCAAGGCGAAGAUCGGUAUCCGGCCUGAGAGGGCGCACGGACACACUGGAACUGAAACACGGUCCAGACUCCUACGGGAGGCAGCAGUGGGGAAUUUUGCGCAAUGGGGGAAACCCUGACGCAGCAACGCCGCGUGGAGGAUGAAGCCCUUUGGGGCGUAAACUCCUUUCGACUCGGACGAUAAUGACGGUACGAGUGGAAGAAGCACCGGCUAACUCUGUGCCAGCAGCCGCGGUAAUACAGAGGGUGCGAGCGUNGUUCGGAAUUAUUGGGCGUUAAGGGCGC